CCUACGGGAGGCAGCAGUGGGGAAUAUUGCACAAUGGGGGAAACCCUGAUGCAGCGACGCCGCGUGAGUGAAGAAGUAUCUCGGUACGUAAAGCUCUAUCAGCCGGGAAGAAAAUGACGGUACCUGACUAAGAAGCCCCGGCUAACUACGUGCCAGCAGCCGCGGUAAUACGUAGGGGGCAAGCGUUAUCCGGAUGUACUGGGUGUAAAGGGAGCGUAGACGGAAGCACAAGUCUGGAGUGAAAUCCCGGGGCUUAACCCCGGAACUGCGUUGGAAACUGUGCGGCUGGAGUGCAGGAGGGGUAAGCGGAAUGCGUAGUGGAGCGGUGAAAUGCGUAGAGAUUAGGAGGAACACCGGUGGCGAAGGCGGCUUACUGGACUGUAACUGACGUUGAGGCUCGAAAGCGUGGGGAGCAAACAGGAUUAGAUACCCUUGUAGUC
rnacentral:rRNA from 1 species